GAAUGCUACCUGAUCCGAGGUCAAAUUUUCAAAAGUUGGGGGUUUAACGGCAGGGCACCGCCAGGGCCUUCCAGAGCGAGGGUUUAACUACUACGCUCGGGGUCCUGGCGAGCUCGCCACUAGAUUUCAGGGCCUGCUUCGUUAGAAGCAGUGCCCCAACACCAAGCAAUGCUUGAGGGUUGAAAUGACGCUCGAACAGGCAUGCCCUCCGGAAUACCAGAGGGCGCAAUGUGCGUUCAAAGAUUCGAUGAUUCACUGAAUUCUGCAAUUCACAUUACUUAUCGCAUUUCGCUGCGUUCUUCAUCGAUGCCAGAACCAAGAGAUCCGUUGUUGAAAGUUUUGAUUCAUUUGUGUUUUUUCUCAGAGUUUCAGUGUAAAAACAAGAGUUAACUUGGCCGCCGGCGUGCCUUCUCCUCACCGGGGUGAGGGGCCUACUAGAGGCCAGCAUGCGCCGAGGCAACAAAAGGUAUAAGUUCACAAAGGGUUUCUGGGUGCGCCUGGGGCGCGUUCCAGCAAUGAUCCCUCCGCAGGUUCCCCCUACGGAA
rnacentral:rRNA from 1 species